AGUGAACGCUGGCGGUAGGCCUAACACAUGCAAGUCGAACGGCAGCACAGUAAGAGCUUGCUCUUACGGGUGGCGAGUGGCGGACGGGUGAGGAAUACAUCGGAAUCUACUUUUUCGUGGGGGAUAACGUAGGGAAACUUACGCUAAUACCGCAUACGACCUACGGGUGAAAGCAGGGGAUCUUCGGACCUUGCGCGAUUGAAUGAGCCGAUGUCGGAUUAGCUAGAUGGCGGGGUAAAGGCCCACCAAGGCGACGAUCCGUAGCUGGUCUGAGAGGAUGAACAGCCACACUGGAACUGAGACACGGUCGAGACUCCUACGGGAGGCAGCAGUGGGGAAUAUUGGACAAGGGGCGCAAGCCUGAUCCAGCCAUACCGCGUGGGUGAAGAAGGCCUUCGGGUUGUAAAGCCCUGUUGUUGGGAAAGAAAAGCAGCAGGUUAAUACCCCGCUGUUCUGACGGUACCCAAAGAAUAAGCACCGGCUAACUUCGUG
rnacentral:rRNA from 1 species